rnacentral:rRNA from 1 species
AUACGAAGGGGGCAGGCGUUGUUCGGAAUAACUGGGCGUAAAGCGCACGUAGGCGGAAUGUUAAGUUAGAGGUGAAAUCCCAGGGCUCAACCCUGGAACGGCCUUUAAUACUGGCAAUCUAGAGACCGAGAGAGGUGAGUGGAAUUCCGAGUGUAGAGGUGAAAUUCGUAGAUAUUCGGAGGAACACCAGUGGCGAAGGCGGCUCACUGGCUCGGUACUGACGCUGAGGUGCGAAAGCGUGGGGAGCAAACAGGAUUAGAAACCCUAGUAGUCC